CUUUAAGUCUCCUGAAGGAACGUUGAAGACGACGACGUUGAUAGGCCGGGUGUGUAAGCGCAGCGAUGCGUUGAGCUAACCGGUACUAAUGAACCGUGAGGCUUAACCUUA
rnacentral:rRNA from 1 species